AUACAUGCAGGUCAAGUGUUCUGGGGGAGACAGAGUGGCUUCCCCUUGGCUUCUAGCUAGGUUUACGUGGUGACCCAAUGGGCGUGCUUUCCUUUUGCUUCUGGCAGUUGCCUGUGGGAGGGGCUUGAGUUCCCUUUCCUUCUAGGGUCAGUCAUCAUAAAGAAUCAGUGGCAUCUGUCAACUGUAGCUCACCGAUCCUUCCAUUAUUAUGUCAGUAAAUUCUACAGUCACUAUGAGCUGUCUCAAAGGUGGAUCUCUAUGAGCUGUCUCAAAGGUGGAUCUCUAUGAGCUGUCUCAAAGGUGGAUCUCUAUGAGCUGUCUCAAAGGUGGAUCUCUAUGAGCUGUCUCAAAGGUGGAUCU